rnacentral:rRNA from 1 species
UACGAAGGGGGCGAGCGUUGUUCGGAUUUACUGGGCGUAAAGGGCGCGUAGGCGGCCUUCUAAGUCGAACGUGAAAUCCCUGGGCUUAACCCAGGAACUGCGUCCGAUACUGGAAGGCUUGAAUCCGGGAGAGGGAUGCGGAAUUCCAGGUGUAGCGGUGAAAUGCGUAGAUAUCUGGAGGAACACCGGUGGCGAAGGCGGCAUCCUGGACCGGCAUUGACGCUGAGGCGCGAAAGCCAGGGGAGCAAACGGG